rnacentral:tRNA from 1 species
GCCCUCGUAGCUCAGGUGGACAGAGCAAGAGACUUCUAAUCUCUGGGUCGCAGGUUCGAGUCCUGCCGGGGGCA